rnacentral:rRNA from 1 species
UUGGAGGGCAAGUCUGGUGCCAGCAGCCGCGGUAAUUCCAGCUCCAAUAGCGUAUAUUAAAGUUGUUGCAGUUAAAAAGCUCGUAGUUGAACCUCGGGAUCAAUGGAUCGGUCAUGCCAUCGGUAUGUACUGGUCUCAUUGGUUCUCACCUUCUAAGGAACCAUGAUGUCAUUCAUUUGAUGUUGUGGGGAAUUAGGACUGUUACCUUGAAAAAAUUAGAGUGUUUAAAGCAGGCUAACGCUUGAAUACAUUAGCAUGGAAUAAUGAAAUAGGACAUCGCAUUCUAUUUUGUUGGUUUCUAGGAUCGAUGUAAUGAUUAAUAGGGAUAGUUGGGGGCAUUAGUAUUCAAUUGUCAGAGGUGAAAUUCUUGGAUUUAUUGAAGACUAACUACUGCGAAAGCAUUUGCCAAGGAUGUUUUCAUUAAUCAAGAACGAAAGUUAGGGGAUCGAAGACGAUCAGAUACCGUCGUAGUCUUAACCAUAAACUAUGCCGACUAGGGAUCGGAUGAUGUUGAUUUUUUAAUGACUCAUUCGGCACCUUACGGGAAAC